rnacentral:rRNA from 1 species
UACGUAGGGUGCAAGCGUUGUCCGGAAUUAUUGGGCGUAAAGAGCUCGUAGGCGGUCUGUCGCGUCGAAUGUGAAAACCCGGGGCUCAACCCCGGGCCUGCAUUCGAUACGGGCAGACUAGAGUUCGGUAGGGGAGUCUGGAAUUCCUGGUGUAGCGGUGAAAUGCGCAGAUAUCAGGAGGAACACCGGUGGCGAAGGCGGUGAUCUGGGCCGACACUGACGCUGUAGAGCGAAAGCGUGGGGAGCGAACAGG